rnacentral:sRNA from 1 species
UAUGUACAUUGCAGUGACAAGGUGAGU